AACGAACGCUGGCGGCAUGCCUAACACAUGCAAGUCGAACGAGACCUUCGGGUCUAGUGGCGCACGGGUGCGUAACGCGUGGGAACCUGCCCUUAGGUUCGGAAUAACUCCCCGAAAGGGGUGCUAAUACCGGAUAAUGUCUUCGGACCAAAGAUUUAUCGCCUUUGGAUGGGCCCGCGUUGGAUUAGCUAGUUGGUAGGGUAAAAGCCUACCAAGGCGACGAUCCAUAACUGGUCUGAGAGGAUGAUCAGCCACACUGGGACUGAGACACGGCCCAGACUCCUACGGGAGGCAGCAGUGGGGAAUAUUGGACAAUGGGCGAAAGCUUGAUCCAGCAAUGCCGCGUGAGUGAUGAAGGCCUUAGGGUUGUAAAGCUCUUUUACCCGGGAUGAUAAUGACAGUACCGGGAGAAUAAGCUCCGGCUAACUCCGUG
rnacentral:rRNA from 1 species